rnacentral:rRNA from 1 species
CCCUUAGAUGUUCUGGGCAGCACGCGCGCUACAAUGGUCUUCGCAAACGGAUGCAUUCUCGAAGGAGAAUGCCAAUCUUGGAAUCUAUGCCUUGGUCGGGACAGUUGCUUGCAAUUUUUCGACUCGAACCAGGAAUUCCUUGUAAUCGUGAUUCAUCACAUCACGAUGAAUACGUCCCUGCCCUUUGUACACACCGCCCGUCGCUACUACCGAUUGGAUGGUUUAGCGAGAACUUUGGACCGGAGCUCGGGUGGUCAGCAAUGGCCGCCCGAGACAUACUGGGAAAUCGCUCCAGCUUGAUCAUCUAGAGGAAGUAAAAGUCGUAACA